rnacentral:tRNA from 1 species
GGCGCCAGAUAGCUCAGUUGGUAGAGCACCUGACUAGAGAUUCAGGGGGCCCGGGUUCGAAACCCGGUCUGGUCU